rnacentral:rRNA from 1 species
UUGAACGCUGGCGGCAUGCCUUACACAUGCAAGUCGAACGGCAGCACGGGGCAACCUGGUGGCGAGUGGCGAACGGGUGAGUAAUGCAUCGGAACGUACCCGGAAGUGGGGGAUAACGUAGCGAAAGUUACGCUAAUACCGCAUAUUCUGUGCGCAGGAAAGAGGGGGAUCUUCGGACCUCUUGCUUUCGGAGCGGCCGAUGUCAGAUUAGCUAGUUGGUGAGGUAAAGGCUCACCAAGGCGACGAUCUGUAGCGGGUCUGAGAGGAUGAUCCGCCACACUGGAACUGAGACACGGUCCAGACUCCUACGGGAGGCAGCAGUGGGGAAUUUUGGACAAUGGGCGCAAGCCUGAUCCAGCCAUGCCGCGUGAGUGAAGAAGGCCUUCGGGUUGUAAAGCUCUUUCGGCCGGGAAGAAAUCGUAUGGAUUAAUACUCUGUGCGGAUGACGGUACCGGCAUAAGAAGCACCGGCUAACUACGU